rnacentral:rRNA from 1 species
GACGAACGCUGGCGGCGUGCUUAACACAUGCAAGUCGAACGGUGAAGCGCCUUCCUUUUUGGUGGGUGUGGAUGAGUGGCGAACGGGUGAGUAACACGUGAGUAACCUGCCCCCUUCUUCUGGAUAACCGCAUGAAAGUGUGGCUAAUACGGGAUAUUCUGGGUCUGUCGCAUGAUGGGUCUGGGAAAGAUAUUGUUUCGGUGGGGGAUGGGCUCGCGGCCUAUCAGCUUGUUGGUGGGUGAUGGCCUACCAAGGCGGUGACGGGUAGCCGGCCUGAGAGGGUGGACGGUCACACUGGGACUGAGACACGGCCCAGACUCCUACGGGAGGCAGCAGUGGGGAAUACUGCACAAUGGGCGCAAGCCUGAUGCAGCGACGCCGCGUGAGGGAUGGAGGCCUUCGGGUUGUGAACCUCUUUCGCCAGUGAAGCAGGCCUGCCUCGUUUGUGGGUGGGUUGACGGUAGCUGGAGAAGAAGCGCCGGCUAACUACGUG